CUUUUCCUCUCCCAGGUGCGCUUCCCUGCUUGAUCUGUGUACCCUGCUCUUUCUCCUUCAUUCCGCAGCCUCCUUUGCCCUGUGACCUGCAGGUACUGGACGGUCCCUAGAGAGGAUACCGGGACGCUCCUGAAGCCGCGAGAUGAUUUCAAGCAGAUGCAGCCUGACCAUUAGGGCCAAGGCCAAAUUGCAAAAAAAAAAAGAAGUUUGCCUUUAUUCUACUCCAUCCACAUCUAAACUUUGGAGGUCAAGGCUGUGGACAGAUCAGAAGACAUAGUUCCCUCCUUCUGGGGCUCCACAUCCUUCAUUCACUGAUCUCUGGGAAGGAGGAUGGGUGGCAGGAUGGGUCUUCCAUGAUACUGAAGGGAGAGCCACAUGUUGAUGCCCAGGACCAGCUGCCUCCUUGGUCUGAAAGGCCUGAUCGAGGCCAGGAUUGGCUAUGAGAGCUGGGAAAUGGGACCAUCUUUGAAGCCAUGGGAGAGGGUGAGAGCCACCAUCACUCAUGUUCUUGAAUGGGAACUGCCUGGAGACCCUGAAGAAGAAGGAGCCUGAAGGAGGAAGGAGGAGGCUGAGCCAUCCCGGGAACAUGGGCUGGAUGAGGCCAAGCCAGGAGACGACACCACCAGAUAGAAGUCACCAUUCAGGAUUUGGACUUUUCUGUGGAGAUCCUGGCCCCGAGAUCGAACCCUUCUCCCUGUGGGUGUUCCCGCAGGAGAUGGUGCUGGAGAUCCACCAGCUGUUCAUGGACCAUGAAUACCCAUGUCACCACAUCACUUCUCACUGCACCUGGGUGGCAGCACACUGGACCACGUCUCAGAGCUGCGCAGCAUGGCAGGGCUGCAGGCGGGCUUGCUGCUCCACGUGGUGGAAGAGCCCUGCACAAUGCACAAGGCCCACGGUGAUGAGUGCCACAUUUGAGACUGCUCAGGAGCCUGGACCCAGCUGAUGCAGCUCCUUGUCCUUCCUGAGCGUCUUCACUGACAGUGGCCUGAGAGACGGCAGGAGCAGAAAGACUUGGAGAUGGACCCCACCGACUGCACACCACCCAAGUACAUCCUGCUAGGGACCCUGGAACAGCCACUGUGUCCCCUGCAACCCCAGAACGGUGACUAAAAGCCCCUGAAAGUGCUCACCGUGAGCGGCUGGUACCUGUCCCCUGGGAACUGCAAGAUGCACAGGACCUUGUGUACCUGUUUGUGAUCACAGCCGAGGACCAGCGAGGUAGCAUUACCACAUCCACACAGGGCUUUUACCAUAACUGCCCCAGUACUGGAACGAGGAGCUGCAGAUGAUGAGGGACCUACCCAACAAGAACCAACCUGAGCAGCUGCUUCAAGAAAAAGCCAUGUUCAAGGUGCCUGAAUCCCCUGGUAAGUGAGUGACAGCCUCACAGCCUCAGGCCCACCUGGCUCCUGCUGGAAGGUUUUCUUGUGCUCGGGAGAGAAGUGAGGGAAGCCGGCAGUCCCAGCCCUGUCAGGUGCCCUGAAGGCCCGUCAGGUUUGCCCUGCAAGGCCUUCUAGCAUUCUGCUUCCUGGGAGACCAUCCCCCACCUUUCUCCGGCCUCUGAGACUUUGAGUCCUUGGGAGGAGAAGGCCCUCCUUGCUAUCUGGGCUGAGUGGCCAGGGCCAUCCAGCUUCCCACCCUCCACUGACUGCCAUGGGGCCCUCCCCUGAGCACAUGGUGCCCAACUGUAGCCCUUCUAGGGCAGGGGCUCAUUGGCAGCACUUGCAGCUUGCUGGCACUUAAAAGUCAUUAGUGCGGUUACUGAGAGAAAUGAGGAAAAAAUAAUUGUUAAAAAAAAAAAAAAAUCUCUCCUAAACUUACUGUGUAACAUGGAAGAAGUAACAGCCAAAAUUUCUUGGGUACUAACUUUACCAGGAUGAUUCCAAGUGCUUUAUAAGCAUUAUUUCCUAUAAUCUUUUGGACCCCUUGUAAAUGUCAAUACUUUCCAUCAUCAUCGUUGCAUAGACAAGAAACUGGGUCUGAAGUUACCUGCCCUGGUUUGCCUGGCACAUAGCUGGUGGAUCCCAAACCUGCCGCAGCCCUCAUACUCCUUGGUAGCCACUAAACUCUGUGCCUCUUUAA